rnacentral:ncRNA from 1 species
UAAAUUGAGAGUUUGAUCCUGGCUCAGGACGAACGCUGGCGGCGUGCCUAACACAUGCAAGUCGAGCGAUGAAGUCCCUUCGGGGAUGGAUUAGCGGCGGACGGGUGAGUAACACGUGGGCAACCUGCCUCAAAGUGGGGGAUAGCCCUCCGAAAGGAGGAUUAA